CCGCAUUCUGCCAAACAACAUGGCAGCGCGCAGAGCAGCUGUAGAGCAGCGGCGUGUUCGUGUGGUGGACGUUUUUUUUUUUCUGUUACACCGCAGCCGUCGCCGCUGCAUAGCGUAAUGGACGGUGCAGCAAAGUCCGGAGGUUACAGAAUUCAUUUGAAGAGCACACGAUGCUUACAUUUUGGCAGAAUAGCGAGCGGUAAGGCGGAUGCAACCGGGAUGCAGCGUUGAUCCAGGGGAAUCGAAAUUGUUUCGGCGUCGGCAUGUUUUCUUAAAGCAUUGCAGAGAUGAACUGAAGUGUUUUAGCACGAAUGCCCAGCUUCAACAGCAGCAUCUUUCAACUGAGUGCUGGCAUUGAGUGCUUCACUUCAGAUGAAAAACUAAAGCCACAUCCCAGGGUCAGUGGCUUUCCCAGGAACGCCUAGGACGUAGGAAUGCAUACUUAUCAUCCUUCACGCUCACACAGCAUGGCUCCCAGAAAUGGAAAGUUCACAAAGCUGCUGAAGGGCCCUUUAAUGAAGAUUACAAACACUACAAUAUGGAAGAGGAAAGUAGCACUAUCAAAGCCAGCUGUUGCACAGCUACAGCACAGGUUUUGCUUGUCAAUCACUUGGUGGCUGAGUAAGCGCGGCAUUUCGCUGCUAAGCACACGUGCAGGGGUUCCAUUCCUGGCUAUGUUGGGCACAGUUGGACUGGGGGAACAAAAUUCUUGUAUUUCGAUACAGGUUUGCUCAUUCAAAAUUACAUGAGCUUUGCUCUUUUGCGUGCAUGCGCAGUCUCUACUGACUUGCUCAGCUUCUUUGACAUGUCUCUAGCAAAAAAAUGCAUUCGUAGCAUUGUGUAUGUCCUAAGCACGGUUGCUGUAAAGUUGUCCUUGUGUUCUGCACACCCGAGUUUUGGAAACUUUGUUAACUCUAGAGCAUCGAGAAGUUCCCAAAAAAUGUCACUGCACAGUUGAAAGCGGUUAAGUGCGCUUGAGACAGUGCUUUCUAUGCUUCUCAGUGACAGGAACAUCUUCUCUGUGGGGUGCUUCAGGCUCAUUUCUUUAAAUGACCUAGCAAAUGUUACCCAUGCUGCCGGCAUAUGUGGAGCGUCAGUUUGAAUGUCAGCUAAGCAGUUUAAACAGCCCUUUUUUCUUUGAGAUUUUGUGCACAAUGUAGCCAGCAAGAUAAUAUACUACACAGUCUUCUGCAGUUGCCUUGCUGUAUGAGUGGUCCUUGCUUGUGCUGGGAAGCGCAGCCAUUGUGCUCGUGUCUUGCAGAUCAAAGCAGAGCUCUUCAAGCUUUUUCUCUAAGCGUGCGUGGAGCUUUUCUUUGUGGCACUCAUUGUCUUUGACACCAGCCUCGAGCACACCUGAAAGAACUGGCAAGAUAUCCUCCUGGGCUUCUACAUUGCCUUUGAUUGCUGCUUUCAUUGGGGCAUAGAUGGUCAAGAGCCGAAAGAUGUAGGAGAAGUUCACUAUGGUGGGGUGAUCUUCAUGUCCUCC
rnacentral:lncRNA from 1 species